AUUGAACGCUAGCGGGAUGCCUUACACAUGCAAGUCGAACGGAGUGGCGAACGGGUGGGUAAUGUAUCUGAACGUGCCCAGUCGCGGGGGAUAACUACGCGAAAGCGUAGCUAAUACCGCAUACUAUUGGAGCGGCCGAUAUCGGAUUGGCUGGGUGGUGGGGUAACGGCUCAGCAAGGCGACGAUCCGUAGGUGGGUUGAGAGGACGACCAGCCACACCGGGAAUGAGGCACGGCCCAGACGCCUCCGGGAGGCAGCAGUGGGGAAUUUUGGGCAAUGGGGGAAACGCUGAUCCAGCCAUCCCGCGUGGGCGAUGAAGGCCUUCGGGUUGUAAAGCACUUUUGGCAGGAAAGCGGUACCUGCAGAAUAAGCACCGGCUAACUACGUGCCAGCAGCCGCGGUAAUUC
rnacentral:rRNA from 1 species